rnacentral:rRNA from 1 species
AGGACGAACGCUUGCGACGUGCCUAAGAAAUGCAAGUCGAACGAGGUAGCAAUACCUAGUGGCGAACGGUCGCGUAACACGUGGGCAACCUGCCCUAGAGUGGGGGAUAACAAUCCGAAAGGAUUGCUAAUACCGCAUGUGAAUACUGAAGGCACCUUCGGCUAUUCAAAGGAUUUAUUCGCUCUAGGAUGGGCCCGCGGCCUAUCAGCUAGUUGGUGAGGUAACGGCCCACCAAGGCUUCGACGGGUAGCUGGUCUGAGAGGACGAUCAGCCGGAUUGGGACUGAGAUACGGCCCAGACUCCUACGGGAGGCAGCAGUGGGGAAUCUUGCGCAAUGGACGAAAGUCUGACGCAGCAACGCCGCGUGGGGGAUGAAGCUUCUCGGAGUGUAAACCCCUUUCGACCCGGACGAAUGCCCGCAAGGGUUUGACGGUACGGGUAUAAGAAGCCCCGGCUAACGUACGUGCCAGCAGCCGC